GUAGGGAUGACGGAGUCUGGUCAAACGUGCUGGGUUAAGGACCCAGUGGCUUAGUGCCUACGGGGGUUCGAAUCCCUCUCCCUACA
rnacentral:tRNA from 1 species